rnacentral:rRNA from 1 species
GACGAACGCUGGCGGCGUGCUUAACACAUGCAAGUCGAGCGGAAAGGCCCUUCGGGGUACUCGAGCGGCGAACGGGUGAGUAACACGUGAGUAAUCUGCCCUUGACUCUGGGAUAGCUCCGGGAAACCGGGAUUAAUACCGGAUAUGACCAUCUUAGGCAUCUUUGGUGGUGGAAAGUUUUUCGGUCAGGGAUGUGCUCGCGGCCUAUCAGCUUGUUGGUGGGGUAAUGGCCUACCAAGGCGACGACGGGUAGCCGGCCUGAGAGGGCGACCGGCCACACUGGGACUGAGACACGGCCCAGACUCCUACGGGAGGCAGCAGUGGGGAAUAUUGCGCAAUGGGGGAAACCCUGACGCAGCGACGCCGCGUGCGGGAUGAAGGCCUUCGGGUUGUAAACCGCUUUCAGCAGGGACGAAGCGAGAGUGACGG